CGGUAUUGAGGUUUCAGAUGCGUUUCAUAUGGCUGGGCAUGAGACUAUAUAUGUUUAUUCUAAUGAGCAAAUGUGGCUCGAUGUGCAUCUUCCAUGUGGAAUAUUUGUGUGGAUCGGGUGGCACACCACCACAGAUAUGUUAUCUGGGUCGGGUUGCACGCCGAAACAGUGUGAUAUUGAGAAUAGUUUUCUAUAUGUUACCUUGUAUGCACUACUUCCUGGUUUCAGAGGAAGGUCCGUAUUGGGUGUUGCUCGGCGAAUAGCGCAUCGAUUGUGACCUUUCAGGAUUGAAUAGAGUAUAUUACUUGCUUCACCGUGGGUGUGAUAGAUUGCGUGGUUUCAGACCUCAAUAUGUGCGUGGCUGUCCGUGUUGAGCAUGGUGACUUAAGGUGCUUCAUGGGUAAUAGUGUUUGGAUAGGAUCACGCGUUGUGGCAAGGCCACUCGAAGUUAUGACCUUUUGAGGAGAAUUCAGGUACUCUAUUUCUAUGAUGUGAGAAGGGAUCUCAGUUUUGUGUUGUGAUGGUGCUGUUGAGCUUGAGGUACAACUUUUUCGUUGAGUCAUUUUCAUGAUUUGAGUAUGUUCAGACUGCUUCUCAUUGGUGCCUGUAUUACGCGAGUUGUGGCUUAGGCUUGUGUCGAGGUAUCAUAUCACCAGAAGGGUGGUUAGAGUCAAAGUGGUCAUUGGAGUCAUUAAUGAGCAUGAACCAAUUUGAUUUCAGCUUGUUAGAAAGGUAAUAUCGAAUCACCAGAAAGGUGGUUAGAGUCGAAGUGGUCAUUGGAGUCAUUAAUGAGCAUGAACCAUUUUGAUUUCAGCUUAUUAGAAAGGUAAUAUCGAGGUUUGGCUCGGAAAUCUGUUGUAGUAUCAAUCAAGAGGGAAAUGGAUUCAUGAAUGGUUGAUCUGAGAGAUGGGUUCAGUAUAUCGCGUGUUUCAGUUACCGUUGGCAGUAUAUGAAAGUGUAGGAAUAAGACUUUAGCUAACAAAAAGGUUUUCUAUCGGUAUCCGGUUAUUGUGGGAAAUUGCUGUGAAUGGAAGUUAUUGUUGCAUGUGUUUGUGUUAUAUGGGAUAUCAUAUGAUUGCAGCCGAGGUUGCAGGUAUGGAUCAUUACAGUUGGUUUGGGUUUAUUCUGAAUAUAGACGUAAGGUUCUGAUCUUGUGUAUAACUUCGGAAAGUGCAAUGCGGUCCAGUGGUUUAUGGGUUAGAUGGACUGUGAAAUUUAAUCUAUGCCGUGUUGUCGGACCAAUAAGAGAUAGGGUGACGUGGGAUCACCCCAGGUAUAUGCUUGGUAAGAUCAUUCAGCUAUUGGUUGGCUU
rnacentral:lncRNA from 1 species